rnacentral:tRNA from 1 species
ACCUGGCUAACUCAGUGGGAGGAGCAUGUGACUCUUAAUCUCAGGAUUAUGGGUUUGAGUCCCACGUUGGGUG